rnacentral:rRNA from 1 species
CGGACGGGUGAGUAAUGUCUGGGAAACUGCCCGAUGGGAGGGGAUAACUACUGGAAACGGUAGCUAAUACCGCAUAAUGUCUGCGGACCAAAGCGGGGGACCUCCGGGCCUCGCGCCAUCAGAUGAACCCAUAUGGGAUUAGCUAGUAGGUAAGGUAACGGCUUACCUAGGCGACGAUCCCUAGCUGGUCUGAGAGGAUGAUCAGCCACACUGGGACUGAGACACGGCCCAG